rnacentral:tRNA from 1 species
GCUCUAGUAGCUUAAACACAAAGCACCGGUUUUGUAACUCGGAAAUCGAAGGUUAAAAUCCUUCCUAGUGCC